AAACCAGCACCUCAAGUGGUCAGGAUGAUUAUUGGGCCUAAAGCAUCCGUAGCCGGCUCUGUAAGUUUUCGGUUAAAUCUGUACGCUCAACGUACAGGCUGCUGGGAAUACUGCAGAGCUAGGGAGUGGGAGAGGUAGACGGUACUCGGGAGGAAGUGGUAAAAUGCUUUGAUCUCUCGAUGACCACCUGUGGCGAAGGCGGUCUACCAGAACACGUCCGACGGUGAGGGAUGAAAGCUGGGGGAGCAAACCGGAUUAGAAACCCCAGUAGUCC
rnacentral:rRNA from 1 species